rnacentral:rRNA from 1 species
AGAAUCAACGCUGGCGGCGUGCCUAACACAUGCAAGUCGAACGAGAAAGUGGAGCAAUCCAUGAGUAAAGUGGCGCACGGGUGAGUAACACGUGACUAACCUACCCUUGAGUGGGGGAUAACCUAGAGAAAUCUGGGCUAAUACCGCAUAAUACCUUCGGGUCAAAGGAGCAAUUCGCUUAAGGAGGGGGUCGCGGCCGAUUAGUUAGUUGGCGGGGUAAUGGCCCACCAAGACUAUGAUCGGUAUCCGGCCUGAGAGGGCGCACGGACACACUGGAACUGAAACACGGUCCAGACUCCUACGGGAGGCAGCAGUGGGAAUUUUGCGCAAUGGGGGAAACCCUGACGCAGCAACGCCGCGUGGAGGAUGAAGUCCCUUGGGACGUAAACUCCUUUCGAUCGGGACGAUUAUGACGGUACCGAGAGAAGAACGCCCCGGCUAACUUCGUGCCAGCAGCCGC